GUUUUGCAGCCUGGGAGGUUUUAAUUUUCCCAGUUUCUUGUCCCACAGUUUCACUUUGGUCCGUGACGUUUCCCUGUUAUUGACCCCCGGCAGCAAAAGGCUUGGAAUGGCAGGAGAGACUUAAUGAGGCACUUUACAUGUCCCUCAUGAAAAGUGGCUCAGGAACCUCAGAGUGAAAUUGUUUUCCUGUCCUGCAAAAUACUUCAGAAACUUUCUAUUCCUGAAUUGAGGCUGCUGCUUGGGCUGUUUUCCAUCUCCUUCUAACACACGGAGCUCCAUUAAGAGACCCUGCUCCAGCUCCUUGGGGGUCUGCAAGAAGGAACGUGGCCUAAACCUGGUCCCCAGAGGGACAGUUGCCACCUCCCAGAGGACACAGCUCACAUUCCAACAUAUGUUGUGACUUGGAACAAAACCUGCAGGAGCUGAGCCAUGAGAGGGACUGUUCUCCUAUUGAAAAGCAAUAUAGAGCAGAGAGCAAUGUAAGCAAAAGGAGUAAGACUUUGAUCAGAGUCAAGCUGUUGUGCCCUCAAAAAGCCCAGCAACUCAUUAUUAUUGAUUAGGUCAGGGUGACCUAUUCUAACAAUACAGUUCUUAGGAUCUCAAAUUCAAAAUAACCGUAGUAAAUAAGACUAAUAGAACCCAUCUGCUGCUCCCCAGUAACAUUGUGCUAUGGUUCAUACAACUGGGUUCACACUGGAGAAUAAAGUA